rnacentral:lncRNA from 1 species
GUUAAAUGUAAUAGAACUACUGGCUAUUGGUCUAAGCUACUUGCCCUGAUAAUUCAGCCACAGAAUUAGUCCUGAACUCGGGGCUAGAACCAAGAACUUUUUUCCCACUAUUGAUGUUACACAGCUACUAUUUAUUUCAAUGUGCUCUCCUUACCCAAAAUGUAGCCCAUGAUUCAAACUUGUUACUCUUCAUGUCAAGUUCAUUUCUCAGGCCUUGUUGGAUCUGUGACCAGUCUUUGGAGUAAGAAUACCAAGAGCUCCAACCUAGGGAAAAAUGCUACUUAUUUGAGAUGGUCUAUGAUAUGAGACUGCUGGAUGGUGAAGUGAGCCAGAACUCAGGGAGCCACUGCAAGAGGGGAGGUGGGUCUCUGAAUAUGAAGAAAACCAGAAUUGUUGGAAGAGAGAAAGAGAAAUUAGGAGGGAAUUUUAGAUGCAAAAAUUCUGAAGUUCAAUCCAGAAGCAAACACACCAGAGAAGUAGAGGCAGAAGAUAAUAGAAACUGCAGUGAGCUGAGCCCAGCCAAGACAGAUUAUGUAGAAG